AUGGAGCUGGACGCGGAAUGUGGCAGCGUGUGCCUUGACAGCGCCGGAGGAGUUGGCAGCCUUCGCCCGCUCAAGCUUCUUCGUUGUGGACGUCUACAUGGGGCGCUGCAACUAGAGACUUGGAGAUCGAGGCGAUGGAACUGCUCACGAGCGGUUGCUCUCGAAGCGUCGUGGGAAAGGAGAAGUGAAGGAAAUGGGCUAAUCUCUCUCCCACCACCUCUACUUUUACCAAAGGCCCAGGCCCAUCAAGAUUACAGCCCGUCAUCAACCAAGGGGUUUUUCGCCAACGAACUAUGUGUCUACAGUCGAAUUCCACCCCUCCAAUUGAGCAGGCACCGUCAGUCAGUCGUCCCCCAGGCUGGUAGCAGCCGAUGUCCUACAGUCGGCUACGCCAAGAGACACCCACGAUCACUACGACGCAUUGAAUGCUGCUGUUACCCAACGUUGGUAUUACCUCAUCCAAUGAGGGCCCAAACAUUGCUAUUAUGUCAUCCAAAUGUUGAUACUAUUGCCACUUGUUAUCAGUUAAGUACUGCAGCCCCUAAUCUUUCAUUGAAGGGAACACCAUAUUGGAUGGCCCCAGAGAUGAUUCGGGCUACACUUGUUAAAGACGUAGGCUAUGAUCUUGCUGUUGAUAUCUGGAGUCUUGGUUGCACCAUUAUCGAGAUGUUCAAUGGAAAACCUCCUUGGAGCGGUCUUGAAGGGCCUACUGCAAUGUUCAAGGUUUUGAAUAAGGACCCACCACUUCCUGACAAUUUAUCACAUGAGGCAAAGGAUUUUCUGAAAUGCUGUUUCAAGAGGAAUCCAGCAGCAAGGCCAAGCGCAAGGGAGUUGUUGACCCAUCCGUUUAUCAGGAAUUCAAGUCAUUACAGCAAGCAUGUUCAAGAAGUCAUUAUUGCAGGCUGUGAGGAAGUCAUUCGAGCAAGCUGUGACCCAUCCUUGACAAGGAAAACUACAACUAGUGGAGGAAAUGAUGCCAGGUCUUCCGAAUCAUUAGUUUCACAGUUAACUCUGCAACCAGUCCAGCUCAACUGCUCGCCUCAACGCCUCUGCAUUCCUUCUCGAAUCCUCGAGCGACCAUGCCGCCUGCCCUGUUUCCCCAUCCUAAGCAUGGUUCUGCCAGUCUCUCCUCCGAUCCCAUUCCAUCCCAGCGAAGCAAAGAAGUUAAAAGGCACGGUGCCAUUUGGAAUGAGAUUGAGCGAGCGUGGCGGACGGAGCGGCUGGAGCAAGAUGGCACGACGGUUAACGGAGGGACAAGAUGGAGGUAGAAGAGAUGAGGUGACAGUAGGAGGAGAGGCACGGCAGCAACAUGAGCCAAGGAAAAGCUUUAGCGUUCCCUUGUCUACAGCAAAGGCGGCAGCGAGGUGGCUGGAGAAGGGGAAGGAGGUUGUAGCCCCAGAGGGGAAGGGGCGGCAUCGAGGCGACGCCAGGGGCACCAUCUCCUCCACGCACCCGACCUCCCACGGGGCAGAUCCCUGCCGCCGGCUCUGGCCGCGGUGGUGGCGGCACCCGACGCCUUUAGGCCUAGGGCAGGAGAGUUGCGUCGGAUCUCCCAUGAGGCGGCUGGGACGCCUCGUGGGGGGUUUCCUCGCGCGGCAGCCAUGGCGGCGUCCUGGCUGUGUGGCGGCAACCGGUGAAGCCAUGGAUGGCGUGGUGCUCUGGUGGGAUCAUCUGCUAUGCGAUGGGCGGUGGUCGUGGAUCUGGCGUCCCGGCCAGAUCUGCCGUGGUUCAGCUUUGGCCGGCCAGCGACGCGUGAUGUGGCCGGGGUGGGGCGGCUGGAGGUCCUCAACCGACUUUCCGACGACACCGUGCGUCUUUAUGGCAAGGGUGUGCUCGGAUCUAGUCAGCGAGGGGCACGAUGAGGGCGUUGGGCGUACCGGCAAUCAGCCAUUUGCUCACCUCCACCGGCAGAGCUACGCGAGGGCAAAAACAGGCAGUGGCCCGCCCAGCCCUCCAGGAAAAAAAUAUACAUAUGUGCCGUCCAACGCUGCAUCGCAGGCAUACAUCACUGGGUCGCUGGUGUCUUCGCAUGCAACACUGAAUUUCCUUCGUCUCCGGCUCUGGUCUGAAUUUCCAGAGAUGGUUGGCGCCGAUGGUCACUGUUGUAUUCAUGGUUUAAAAGGCGGAAGGCCUGCCCAGUUUUUUUUUCCUAGCUCCGCCACUGUCACCUCGUCCGGAUGGGUUGUCCCCUUCCAGCUUUGCGGACCUCCAAGGUGGCUCACCAAAAGUGAAGCCCUUGCCGUUAAACGAAUCAGACCGGGGCAACACCCUGGACACGCCAUCAAACUCAAGAUCUGGCACCCCACGACGACUAAGACGCCGAAGGAGGAAACCAUACCUGUCAUCCAUGAACCACGAACCCAGCACACGUUCCGUCUUCCAGAUGUCGUCGAUGCAGACCACAAUCUGCAUCCGCUCCUGGACUACCUCCCAAGCUCUGCGCACCCCGAGGAUGCGGCCGCCACCACGCCAUCCUUAUUUGAACACCAAAACGAUGAACAGCCUAAAAAUCUAGACUACGAGAGAGUAAAAACGAUCCACGUGCGUGAAUCCAGCGACCCCCUCACCACUGAUGACCGAGGGAGCCGCCGGAGGACGACGCUAGAAGAUUGGCCUCCUGGCGGCGGCUAG
rnacentral:rRNA from 1 species